rnacentral:rRNA from 1 species
UACGGGGGGGGCAAGCGUUGUUCGGAAUUACUGGGCGUAAAGGGCUCGUAGGUGGCCAACUAAGUCAGACGUGAAAUCCCUCGGCUUAACCGGGGAACUGCGUCUGAUACUGGAUGGCUUGAGUUUGGGAGAGGAAUGCGGAAUUCCAGGUGUAGCGGUGAAAUGCGUAGAUAUCGGGAGGAACACCAGUGGCGAAGGCGGCGCGCUGGGCCACUCCUGACGCUGAGACGCGAAAGCGAGGGGAGCGAACAGG